GCCGGCGUGGCUCAGUUGGCAGAGCAGCGGUUUCGUAAACCGCAGGUCGUCGGUUCGAUUCCGACCGCCGGCU
rnacentral:tRNA from 1 species